rnacentral:tRNA from 1 species
CGGAGCGUGGCGCAGUCUGGUAGCGCACACGUCUGGGGGGCGUGUGGUCGCAGGUUCAAAUCCUGUCGCUCCGACCA